rnacentral:lncRNA from 1 species
GCAUUUAGAAAAGUUGUUAAUGGUGGAAAAAAUGAUGUGGACAAUUAUCAAGACACAACUGAGAUGCAAAAUCAUACUGAUGGUUAGUGUUUCCUUGGUAUCAAUGUUAGUACUUAUGUAGCAAAUACUUUUAUCUUCGUCAUUGAAGCUCGUAUAACCAUACAUUCCUUUCUCGGCAGCUCCUCAGAGAAGACGAAUUCAUUGUUUCAGAAGGAAGUGAGCCCCCUUAGAUUUCCUACAUUCUUGAACACGCAAUCUGCAAAAUCAUUUGCACGUUUUGUCUUUUCUUUUUUGCACAAGGUAUUUGGUCUUAGUUUAUUAUGUAGAUUCCACAAGUUAAUGUUCUUUGUGAUUGGACGUGUACCUACAUACGGUUAUUUAGUUUCAGAGAUAAAUUGCAUCUUGCUCGGAUUCUUUUAUUGCAGAUGAACAUCAAAAUAAAUUUGCCAUUUUAAAGGAUGGAGUUCGAGCAAUUUUUUUACCAAUCUGGGCAUUUUUUUCUUCAGAAUUUUACUACAAACCUUGCUUUAUUUGUACAAAUGGUGAGCACACUGACAUCGAUUGGUACGUUUGGGGAUGGUUUUGUAGGUCACAAU